UGGGGCUGAAACACUGUGUCGAAAUGAAGUGAAGCGUUGUCACUUUGCUCUCCAAUAUUCAUCGUGAACGUGAUAUGUAGGCCCAGAGUGAUAGAUAUAACAGAGUGGCGACACUUCCAUUGGACUCCGCUGUAGUGCCUACUUUCGGGGUAUGGAGCCUCGAAUAGUUCCAAACAACCAUUUUACGGCGUAGGAGAUCAUUCAUUUCCAUUGCUGGCCGUCGAGUAACUUCUGAGGUCCUCCACAGUCGCCCCAUCAGUCCCUGGCAGUCUGGUCCCUGGAGCAGCUGGC
rnacentral:lncRNA from 1 species